rnacentral:rRNA from 1 species
GACGAACCGUGCGAACGUUGUUCGGAAUCACUGGGCUUAAAGGGCGCGUAGGCGGGCUGACAAGUCUGGGGUGAAAUGCCACGGCUCAACCGUGGAACUGCCUUAGAUACUGUCGGCCUCGAGGAAGGUAGGGGCAUGCGGAACUGUAGGUGGAGCGGUGAAAUGCGUAGAUAUCUGAAGGAACAUCAGUGGCGAAAGCGACUUCCUGGACGAAUACUGACGCUCAUGUGCGAAAAGCGUGGGGGAGCAAACAGG